AGUUGAGUUAAUACGUGAAUUUUGGAUCCUGAACGCAGUUUUUGAGUUGAGUUAAAGUGUGUUCUUCCCGGAGGUCACAAGUGGUUCCGGCAGCCCAAUUUUCAGAGGUGACAAAGUGCUCUGACGGCCAAUUUUCGAAGGUAACAAGGUGCCCUGAUGGACUGUCUUCAGAGGUAACGAAGGCUCUGACACGCGAGACGUCCAGUACUGCAGUAAUUUUCUUCUGAAUGGGGGAUUUUGUCGGGCCCGACGCGCUAGUGGGGAAAAAACCCUGGGUCUGAGUUAAGGUACAGCGUGGCUUACGGAGCCUGGACGCUUUUUGAAAUUAAUUAAUACAGCGCUGACCGCACUUGACUGAUUGGAUCCUUUCUCUUUUUAAUAAGCACUUUAACUCUGACAACUAUCGAUAGACACACUCGCUGCUAGCAUCCUAAGGGGACAGAAGUAGGCGGGAACGGGGAUACAGAGUCACCGAUGGUAUGAGUGGGAUGAGCUGGGUGCAGACAAGCAGUGUGCGAGGGGCCGGUCCAGUGUGAGAGAGAGAGCGAGUGCUGUGAAUUUAACGGACGUUGAGAACGGCAGGGAAGCAGAUACGGGAUAGAUUACAAGAGGUACGGAUCGGGAUAAGAAACUUACUUUCAGGAUUGGGAUUGCUGACUCGCGACGGCAGCGGAGGUGCGAGUAGCAGCAGACCUGUACCAGCAGCCUGUGUGAAAAAGAGAGAGAGCGUGGACAGUGGCUCAGCGAGCAGGAGCUGUUUUACAGCUAUUCGACUGUGUAAGUUUGUUCCUUGGAUUUUACGAUUCGGGACUGUUUUAAAUGUGGUUUUCUACAAUCUUACAAUAACUUCUUUUAAGGUUGAUAACUUCUGCCCUCCCAUAAGUAAAGGCUGCCUUACUAUCGAAUCUAACUUAUCUCUUAUCCUUACGUAACAGCAAUAUAUUGAGGACAUUUCAAGUUUCAUUUUUGACAGUAGCUUGUGGUAAGAACGGCACAGAAAUAGGGACGGGGUGAAACAGUGUAGGAGAAAGGAAGAGGGACAGAGGGAAAGAUAGGUAUAGGGAGUGACGGGAAAGGCAUAAUGGAGAAUGCAGAUUUUGGAUCGGAGAGAUUGCGCCGUCCCAGAACGGUUGUAAUCUACUUUUUACUACAAAACAGCAAGUAACAACAUGUUUUCGUACAUGCCGAUUUGGUCCGGGAUUAUAGAAGCCGGUUUUAGGCUACGAUUUUACUGAAAUUGUGUGAGUGAAUGGAUAAGAGUAGUUAGACAAGUAUAUUGUUGAACCACGUUUCUGGAUAGUCCUUUUUCAUCUUUGCAUGGAAGCAGUAUAAAGGGGACAGCUGAAGUUUACUUUUAACAGCAGCUUGCAGUAAGAGCGGCAGAGAGAGAGAGGGGAACAGACAGACACGCAGGCUCUGUUUUUUGUUCAACAUGGCUAGAUUUGCGAGCUGCAGACAGCAUCAGGAACGGGGGGCCUGCCGGGGAGGUGUCUUCGGAGGGGAAACGAGUGCUAAGGGACUUGCUCCUCUGCCCUGCUUGAGUAGAACCGGGUUUUGUUGCGGCUUGAUCUGUUUUCCCUUGCCACCUAACUUGCUGAGAAAUUCUAGUGCUUUGAUUUUACUUUAAUAGGCUUCAUUUGCAAUUAAUCCGGGAAUAGUGCGAAGGCAGUUACAAACUCCACACUGUUAAAAUAAUCACUGAAAAUCUCAAAAGAAAAUGUGCACAUCUUAAAAGCUGUAACUGGGAUUCAGUGUUCGAAGAUUUCACGGCCAUCGGGUGGAGAGAAUCUCAGUGGCCAGCUGAGAGUGACUUUUGUUUUCCAGGGAUGAAUGUCUGUUAUGAGGGCUACUGGCCAGCUUCAAGACCCCACUCCUUUGAGACAAGCAGGAAUUUUUUUCCCUUUUUUUUACCCCAUCCCAGGCUGUGGUACUCAUUUCACAGUACACGUUGUCUCAGCCAUCAUAUUCCACUAAUUCUGCUACCAAAUAAAACAUCUGCACUCUCUCAAAAUUGUUACGACAGCUUUAGAUUCGCUUCCCUGCAGGUAACUCUUGUCAGUUUCAAAAGUGGCUGCUAUUUACUCAGCUGUCUGUCUGUCUGCCUGUAAGUCGUGAAAUUGCUAUGGUUUCGGAUCAUUAACCUUCAAGUGGCUUAAUGUUUACACAGCCGGCAGCUGUGUUUGCAUUUCUCAAGCAGGUGCGAAUUCUUGUGGUUUAUAAUGGUUUUUCGUCAUUGGCCGAACUGCGGUGUGUGUGUGUGUUUCUAUUGGACGAGGGACUCCCAUUCAGCAUUGGAGGGUUCUGAUUGGUUAGGGAUUCCCAUUGACAUUGCUGCACGGAGGGGACACGGAAAAGUCUGGUAGGAUGGAAAAGAAGGAAGUUUACGUGUUCAUACCCCGCAUGGCAGCGCCGGAGGUGAUCUGAGGUCACCCUUUCGGGGAUAACCUGUCCUGAGAAGGGGGAAAUGUUGUAGAGGCAGCAGGAGGGGUUCUUCUUUUUAUUUUUACAGAUGGAUCAACUACUCUGGUGGCUAAUAGCGUGGAUACGCCUGGGAACGGUUAGAGGGACUCUUCGAAACAUGAAGGGGCAUGUGGUGUAUGGGUGCUCCGGUUGCCAAGCACCCACGGUACCAACUACCCAGAGGACACCUACAGCGUCUGGACAGGUUGUAUAUUCUCAUAAGGGAUGGUGUCCGGGGUGGUUGGGGUCAAACCCUACCAGAUACUCCCGUCACCCAAAUUUAAAUUACGGGGAAGCCUCCAUCACAUUCAAUAAUAUCAAACUCUUUACUGUUCGGGUUAGGGUGACAGAGGAAGAUGGUGUGCCAUGAACGCAUGGUCAAUUCCUUUUAAAGACAUAAUGAGAGUUCUCUUGCACGAAAGGACGAGCGCACUCUUACUGGAUGCACUCGACGUUCCAGAUGAGCACAGACCUCACAUCCAGAAGUACUGACUGGAGAAUUUGAGGACUGCCUCCCAUCCGCUCCGGCCUCCCAGACUUACCGCCCCCACAGACCCCUAUCACGUCUCCUUAUAUUAUGGUAUUCAACACAAUACUUUUUUUCCCCAUAGUGGUCAGAUGGUUCCUCACUGUCCCCACCAAAAUGUCACCCUGGGGAUAGGGGGACUCCUUUUCACUGCAUUCCUAAAGCCCUAUCUCACUGGUUUAAAGGUGAUGAGGUAUCAUUACUUUUCAACCGGACCCCUAUACGUUGAGCUCCACCAGGUGACACCGCUGCCACCAACUCCGACAACACGACAGCCUGCGUGUGACCUCCUACAAACAGACAGGGACAUAUCCAAUACAUGCUGUAAUGUGACUUCCGUUCGUGAGCCAUGAUACCGGGUUUCUUGCUUGCGGCUGGUUGCGAUAAGGGCGGGCGAGUGGGGACCUCCCAAUUCUUUUCUUCAUUGCUAUAGUACCGCCGUUGCAUGAGCUCGGGGUUCGGGCGUAGUAGAGGCUAUCUCUCCGGUGCGUGUCGGCUCCCUCAAUGGCUUUCUUUCGAAUUCGUCUGAUCCUGUUGUACUCAUGACUAACUUUUCAUCUUCAUGUACGCUAAAUGAAGCCUGGUUGUCCAAAGAGCCCCCACUUAUUUAUUUUGCCCGUUUAAAUUGGGGAUAUAUGAAUUGAUCCUUCCAUAACAGCGGGUGGGUGAGAUGUACUGUGCGCCCUGGCAAUCGAAACACUGCUGUUCUCGCAAGCGGCCCUUGCGGACUGUCCAAUAUUCCUGACUGGCCUCAGCCACUCUCGGAGGCCACUGACCAUGCUACUGAGCUGCCCACGCCUGUCCUUGGGGUGGUGAAACGGAUGUCGGCGUCGAUUACUCAAUGCAGCACGACUGGUUAGCCAAUGACGGGUAAGAUCCCUCGGGCGAGGAACAACCUAAGACAGGCACAGUCGCGCAUUGACAUCGGAACGCGUGGCCUCCGUUCGUCUCCAUUUGAUGAGAUUUCUGCCUGCUUGCAUCCGUGUCGGACGGUUGGACAGCACUGCUGCUCUCUGGAGCAUACUGAUCUACGGGACCACCGAGGCACACUACAGUUUCACACUGGGUUUCACAUCUCUAGCGGGUACCUAGCUGCUGGUACCAGGCUGUUCGUACUCCCUUUCCAAACUUACAACACCUACUUACAUUUGCCGGCUCUUUGGACUACAGACUUCCGUUUACUAAAUGGCUUACUCAUUCUACCGCACUCGCGUACAUUUCGCCAGCUCUGAAUGACUUAUUGCAAUGCUUGUCUAAUGCUGUGCUUUUCGUUAUUUCUGCAGACACUGCCUCAAUUACUUCAACUAUUAGUUUAGCUUAGCAUGCAGCUGUGACCAUCUAUUGCUUAAUUGUGUAGCGGCGCGUUUUCAGGGCACCCUUCAUCCCCACAUGACUGUCUCCUUAGAACCAGUGAGUCUGGUCGAUGCAACACCGGACACUGGUCGCCUCGUGGGGUUGCGUUCCUUACGGGAUAAGGGGGUGUGGCCUCUUUCGAGGCCAAGGGAGGGAAUGUUGGGGAGAAUCUGCUAUCGGGGUACCUACAUUGGGGCUAGGGAGGGGAGCACCAUUAUUAAAGCAGGCAUUGUCAGAUACCAGCUAAAACACAGCCAUGUAAAGUAAACCCAGCCACUGCAGGACUGCCUGCCUGGGGCCACAUUCCUGGGGAUUAGAACAUGUCCGUCAGUUUCAGAUCAUCCUAUUACACUCUCAUUGUUAAUAAAGGAAACCGGUAACUAUCGGAUAGUGUAAAUCGCACCGAUACCACACUUGAUUGAUAAAGUACUUGCUAAUGCCUCCGCUGACAUCAAACUCAUUCGGGUCCUAUGUUAAAUGAUAAUAUCUGUAUAUUCAACUAUGGAGAACUAUUGUGAACGCCCAGACAGCCAGACGCAUAGCAAUGAGGAAACCCUUCCAACAAUAAACUUUUAAUUUACAAGAUCGGAAACUGCCGAACCCAGGAUGUCUACCCAUUGUUCGGCACAGCAGGAGUGGGACAGGUAUCUCGGGGCAGCCAAUAGAGACACUAAUCCCUUCACAGACAGGUGAACCGACCAAUGAAAGAGCCGAACAAGGGGAACCUGACCGGGAACUCGAGGAAGGGCGAAGUAUAACUGUACCAGAUCCGAAGGGAGAGACAGAACGCCUUCUCCAAUGAAUUUGCAUGCUUUUGAAUUCGUUGUAUAGUGUACCAGUUUUGAUUCUGUAAUAAACGGUGUUUUUGCUCCAAA